GUGGGGAAUCUUGCGCAAUGGGCGAAAGCCUGACGCAGCCAUGCCGCGUGAAUGAUGAAGGUCUUAGGAUUGUAAAAUUCUUUCACCGGGGACGAUAAUGACGGUACCCGGAGAAGAAGCUCCGGCUAACUUCGUGCCAGCAGCCGCGGUAAUACGAAGGGGGCUAGCGUUGCUCGGAAUUACUGGGCGUAAAGGGCGCGUAGGCGGACAGCUUAGUCAGAGGUGAAAGCCCAGGGCUCAACCUUGGAAUUGGCUUUGAUACUGGCUGUCUUGAGUUUGGGAGAGGUGAGUGGAACUCCGAGUGUAGAGGUGAAAUUCGUAGAUAUUCGGAAGAACACCAGUGGCGAAGGCGACUCACUGGCCCAAUACUGACGCUGAGGCGCGAAAGCGUGGGGAGCAAACAGGAUUAGAAACCCCUGUAGUCC
rnacentral:rRNA from 1 species